rnacentral:siRNA from 1 species
UGGUCAUUGAUGAAUUGUAAAUA